rnacentral:rRNA from 1 species
GCACAAGCGGGGAGCAUGUGGUUUAAUUCGAAGCAACGCGAAGAACCUUACCAGGUCUUGACAUCCUCUGACACUCCUAGAGAUAGGACGUUCCCCUUCGGGGGACAGAGUGACAGGUGGUGCAUGGUUGUCGUCAGCUCGUGUCGUGAGAUGUUGGGUUAAGUCCCGCAACGAGCGCAACCCUUGAUCUUAGUUGCCAGCAUUCAGUUGGGCACUCUAAGGUGACUGCCGGUGACAAACCGGAGGAAGGUGGGGAUGACGUCAAAUCAUCAUGCCCCUUAUGACCUGGGCUACACACGUGCUACAAUGGAUGGUACAAAGGGCUGCAAAACCGCGAGGUCGAGCGAAUCCCAUAAAACCAUUCUCAGUUCGGAUUGUAGGCUGCAACUCGCCUACAUGAAGCUGGAAUCGCUAGUAAUCGUGGAUCAGCAUGCCACGGUGAAUACGUUCCCGGGC